rnacentral:rRNA from 1 species
GAUGAACGCUCGCGAUAGGCUUAACACAUGCAAGUCGAGGGGCAGCAUGGUCUUAGCUUGCUAAGACUGAUGGCGACCGGCGCACGGGUGCGUAACGCGUAUGCAACUUGCCUCACAGAGGGGGAUAACCCGUCGAAAGACGGACUAAUACCGCGUACACUCCAUCUUGGGCAUCCAAGGUAGAGGAAAUGAAAUUCGCUGUGAGAUAGGCAUGCGUCCCAUUAGCUAGUUGGUGAGGUAACGGCUCACCAAGGCGACGAUGGGUAGGGGAACUGAGAGGUUGAACCCCCACACUGGUACUGAGACACGGACCAGACUCCUACGGGAGGCAGCAGUGAGGAAUAUUGGUCAAUGGGCGAGAGCCUGAACCAGCCAAGUCGCGUGAAGGAUGACUGUCUUAUGGAUUGUAAACUUCUUUUAUACGGGAAUAACAAGAGUCACGUGUGACUCCCUGCAUGUACCGUAUGAAUAAGCAUCGGCUAACUCCGUG